ACUCCUACGGGAGGCAGCAGUGGGGAAUAUUGCACAAUGGGCGCAAGCCUGAUGCAGCAACGCCGUGUGAGUGAAGAAGGUUUUCGGAUCGUAAAACUCUGUCCUAAGGGAAGAAACAAAUGACGGUACCUUAGGAGGAAGCCCCGGCUAACUACGUGCCAGCAGCCGCGGUAAUACGUAGGGGGCAAGCGUUAUCCGGAAUCACUGGGGCGUAAAGGGUGCGUAGGCGGCUUAGCAAGCCAGGGGUGAAAGGCAUUGGCUCAACCAAUGUAAGCCUUUGGAACUGUUAAGCUUGAGUGCAGGAGAGGUAAGUGGAAUUCCUAGUGUAGAGGUGAAAUUCGUAGAUAUUAGGAGGAACACCAGUGGCGAAGGCGACUUACUGGACUGUAACUGACGCUGAUGCACGAAAGCGUGGGUAGCGAACAGGAUUAGAUACCCUGGUAGCUACGAG
rnacentral:rRNA from 1 species